CGGGGGGCAGCAGUGGGGAAUAUUGGACAAUGGGCGCAAGCCUGAUCCAGCCAUGCCGCGUGAGUGAUGAAGGCCUUAGGGUUGUAAAGCUCUUUUACCUGGGAAGAUAAUGACGGUACCAGGAGAAUAAGCCCCGGCUAACUUCGUGCCAGCAGCCGCGGUAAUACGAAGGGGGCUAGCGUUGUUCGGAUUUACUGGGCGUAAAGCGCACGUAGGCGGAUCUUUAAGUCAGAGGUGAAAGCCUGGAGCUCAACUCCAGAACUGCCUUUGAUACUGGGGAUCUCGAGUCCGGGAGAGGUGAGUGGAACUGCGAGUGUAGAGGUGAAAUUCGUAGAUAUUCGCAAGAACACCAGUGGCGAAGGCGGCUCACUGGCCCGGUACUGACGCUGAGGUGCGAAAGCGUGGGGAGCAAACAGGAUUAGAUACCCGAGU
rnacentral:rRNA from 1 species